GAGACUUCAACGCGAAUCUCGGCAGUAUCGAGCCGAACCAUUGAUUGUUAAACAUUCUAGUGAAUUUAAUAUUUUUCGCCAGCUUAGUUACAGACAACUUUAAAGGCUAUAAAAUUGAUAUUAGCUAGAUAGUCACUAACUGAAGCGCACUGGAGGACGGCAAGAGGACCUGGACAGUCUGCGGAUUUAUAUUGACGAGUGUUUCGAGCGAGUUGUCAUGGGUAAACCAGACAAGACCCGACCUUCUCCGGCAACAAAGGAGCUCCGUUCACCAAGAAGAGUUGCCCAGAAGAUUCCCCAGAGGCAGCUUCUCCACGUACCAGCGAUAUGGUGGAUAUUUUGGAGUCCAUAGACAAGGAACUGUCCAGUUUUGACACUCGCCUUUCCAUUCUGGAAAUUCUCCAGAGUUUCAGCUUCUCCGUGAGUCUGUGGAGUUUAGCCAGCAGCAGGUGGAAACACUUGCUGCAGAAAACGCAGUACUCCGAGAAUGGUGAAUUCCCUCACCGAGGGAAUGACCCGGCUCUCGGAAGAAAAUUUUUAAAAAUCAAAGAAACCGUCAUCGCGCUCCAGCCCCGCUGGAGAAGGCUGAAGAAGACCCGGAAACAGUAGUGAAGGGAUUUAUUCAAACCCACCUAGAGCGCCCGGAGGACAGUAAAGACCAUCACCCUUAAUCGUGUUCACCGCACAGGAGCCAAGCGACCCGCAGGACACAGACCCAGAAGACCGAUCGUGGCCAAAUUCAAACGCGGCCGAGAGGAACGGACUUAAGUGUUAAUUAGAUUCUGGAGCUACGCAGGGUCCUGUUCCCGAUCCGGAAAAAAUACAGUCUCCCGAGCUGUCAUCGCGGUGGAUAAACUUGACGUGAACGCAGUAGCGCAAAAAGGGGGUGCUGUAUGCAUUAUAUGCAGUGGUGGACAGUAACGAAGUACACAUACUUCGUUACUGUACUUAAGUAGAUUUUCAGUGCGGGAGCCGGCUUUUGAUUGCGAGCGGUUUUUCUUGGAAGUCGCAACAACAGGGAGGGAACAGACACCCCACACGGUAGAGGGAGAGGCUCCUGCAACGCUCGCUGGGAGACCGGAAAGAGCCAGAGGAAGCUGCGCUUUACAUGGAGGCUGCACAACGGAACGGGUGAAAGGAGUUCCAGGAGGGCAGGCAGGGAAGAAAAGGACUGGUGGCGAAGAGCUGGUCAGUGUUUGCAGGAGAGAAGGACAAAUUCCACAGAGACAGGUAGGUAAUCCACCCUUGAGCCAGGUGAGAGAGAACUGGAAAGAGGAAAGCAAAGACAUUAGUGCAGCGAAGAACAAACCACGAGGGAAGAACAUUUGGAGAGCCGAUUUACCACUAAACGGUAGCAGACUAUCUGGCAAUUGGACUGGGGGCUCCAACUAGUCCUUAAGUACUUGUUGCUGAUUGCAGCUGGAUGAGAAGCGGGUAUGCCUGGCUGCUAAGCAGGAACUCGAAAGGCCCACCUGUCCCACAACCUGGACUUAAGGAAGUGACAGACUCCAAAACACAGCCAGCAAAGACUAUGACAAAUAAUUUGUGUUGUUUAAUAGUUUUUGUUUUCUGCUUUUAGAUACAGGGUGAAAAGCUCAUAUUAUCUCAUAUUUAUGCCAAAUUACUGAGUAUUCCUAAAGAUUCACACGUUUUUAAACCUAUGUAUAAUUUACUAGUUAAAAGUGAUAAACCACAAAUGCUGUUGAAGCCUUACAUAUAACCUUUUGAAACGUCAUUAUAGUUUCAUAAUUUACUGAUUGAGAAUGGUAUCAGUCGGACAAAAUUCAGGCAAGUUACAGAACUUUGUGCUGCAGUAUUAUCAGAGCACAGCCUCUAUUCCUUUAGAUUAAUGUGAAAAUUAAAAGCCAGUGACUAACAGAACAAAAAUAAAAUAAAUAAUGCAUUAUUAAGUAUAAAUUCAGUUCAAAAAGCAACAUAAUGGGUAAAACACACGCCUGGACCAGAUGUUAUCAUAAGAAAACCAAAUAUUUCAGAGGAAUAAUUCACCACAUCGAGGAAAUAUCAUUACCAAGGGAGUCCUACACAUAGCUCUUGUGGAUAAGCGAUGUGCUGUGAAUUAUUAUCAUAACAAAUAUGCCUUUCCACCCACAGAGACUAGAGUUAUUUUGCCCCCUCUCAUCUUCUGUUCACACAUAGACAAACACUUCUCUGUAGCUGUGAUAUGGGGUUAAGUGCUUUAUGUGCUCCAUGGUUGGGCCAUGUACCAAUUUAUUUAACUUUUUUAUUUUAUUUUUUGAAGUAGAUAUGGCAAGAGUGCAAACCAAAUAAAUUAAAUUGCAACUGUAGAGUUGGGAAAUAGGACUUAGUCUUUCUGUUUUUACAGAGUUAUUAAAGGCUUUUAAUCUGUAAAUGUACAGUUCAUCUAAAUGUGUAUCAGAGUUAGAAGAAAUUGUAUGUUUAGAAACUGAUGUGAAGUUAGCAAAAAACUUUACGAACUUUCACUAAAAAAAACAGUUGGUGGUUGGUGCAUCAUUUUCUUGGUUCAUAAACUAUAUAUCAGUGAGCUUUACAGUUGAGAAUGCAUGAUUUAGGAAACAUAAAUAUUUACAAGCAUACAUCAAACGAUAUGGCUGGAAAAUCAUUUUAGGUCAGUGUAGCCUUUUUCUUUUUUUUUGUAAAUGCACACACGUAUCUACCAUACUCAUUAAAAGCUAUCAAUAAUGAUCAUUUAAAUUCUAUUUAAAAGUAGUUAUAUCCAUAUGGGAGGAUAUCUUCCCAAAUUACAACCAUAACCCACCAUCCCUAGGGUAUUAAGUCAUUAAAUGGUUGGGUGAGCGUAAAACUUAUCUAAAUACCAGCCACCUUGGAGUUGCUUGAACACUAUUCUCAUGGGAGUUUGAAGUGGGAUUUGUGACAGUGUACUCUGUCUUUACAACAAAUAGUACAAUCUGCCAUAAGAGCAUGCAGUAACCUUGAAUGACAUGAAGCCUUGGAUAAAUAAGACAGCUGGUCACAUUAGUAAUCAAGCAGUACAUUUUGAACGCAGACUGGGUGAUGAGUUAAAAUGUCCAAACCAGCCAUGGUUAGUCCAACAACUGUUAACAUACUGGUAACAUGUCCGUGAAAAGAAACUAGCAACAUACGCCUAGCUUUCCUAGUAUGCUCUGGGAUAACUUAUUACAUUGGAAAGUUGCCAGACAUGGAAAGGGAGACUUUCAAUUUGGUGUUUUCUUCUAGAGUAGUACCCAUCGCCCAUGGUCUCCAUGGCACUGCAGUCAUUAGUUAUUCUUGUAAGAACCUCCAUCAUUAUUGGAGGCACCACCAUCUUGCACUGUCUGGCUAUUAACAGGUAAUUACUUACCAAGUGAAAUUCUCAAUAAGUCAGAAAAAAAUGCAUAUUGGUGAUGGCUGAUAUUUUCAUCCAAUUACAAACCUAAAGCUAUUAACAAGCAACAUUAGCUAUGAGCAAUGAUGCUGCCAUUUCUGUAAAUUAUGUCACAAAGAUGGUACAAUAUGCAAACAAUGCAAC